GCUGGCGGUAGGCUUAACACAUGCAAGUCGUGCGAGAAAGUAUCUUCGGAUAUGAGUAGAGCGGCGGACGGGUGAGUAACGCGUAGGAAUCUACCUAGUAGAAGGGGAUAGCCCGGGGAAACUCGGAUUAAUACCGUAUACCUCCUUCGGGAGAAAGAAGGCCUCUCUUUGAAGCUUUCGCUAUUAGAUGAGCCUGCGUAAGAUUAGCUUGUUGGUGAGGUAAAGGCUCACCAAGGCGACGAUCUUUAGCGGGUCUGAGAGGACGAUCCGCCACAUUGGGACUGAGACACGGCCCAGACUCCUACGGGAGGCAGCAGUGGGGAAUAUUGGACAAUGGGCGCAAGCCUGAUCCAGCCAUACCGCGUGUGUGAAGAAGGCCCUAGGGUUGUAAAGCACUUUAAGUUGGGAAGAAAAGUUGUUGGCUAAUACCCAAUAACCGUGACAUUACCUUCAGAAUAAGGACCGGCUAAUUCCGUGCCAGCAGCCGCGGUAAUACGGAAGGUCCAAGCGUUAAUCGGAAUUACUGGGCGUAAAGCGCGCGUAGGUGGUUUAUUAAGUUGGAUGUGAAAUCCCCGGGCUCAACCUGGGAACUGCAUCCAAAACUGAUUCACUAGAGUACGAUAGAGGGAGGUAGAAUUCACAGUGUAGCGGUGGAAUGCGUAGAUAUUGUGAAGAAUACCAAUGGCGAAGGCAGCCUCCUGGAUCUGUACUGACACUAAGGUGCGAAAGCGUGGGUAGCGAACAGGAUUAGAUACCCUGGUAGUCCACGCCGUAAACGAUGUCAACUAGCUGUUGGGAAACAAUGUUUCUCAGUGGCGCAGCUAACGUAGUAAGUUGACC
rnacentral:rRNA from 1 species